AGUGAACGCUGGCGGUAGGCCUAACACAUGCAAGUCGAACGGCAGCACAGUAAGAGCUUGCUCUUACGGGUGGCGAGUGGCGGACGGGUGAGGUAUACAUCGGAAUCUACUUUUUCGUGGGGGAUAACGUAGGGAAACUUACGCUAAUACCGCAUACGACCUACGGGUGAAAGCAGGGGAUCUUCGGACCUUGCGCGAUUGAAUGAGCCGAUGUCGGAUUAGCUAGUUGGCGGGGUAAAGGCCCACCAAGGCGACGAUCCGUAGCUGGUCUGAGAGGAUGAACAGCGACACUGGAACUGAGACACGGUCCAGAGUCCUACGGGAGGCAGCAGUGGGGAAUAUUGGACAAUGGGCGCAAGCCUGAUCCAGCCAUACCGCGUGGGUGAAGAAGGCCUUCGGGUUGUAAAGCCCUUUUGUUGGGAAAGAAAAGCAGCAGGUUAAUACCCCGCUGUUCUGGCGGUACCCAAAGAAUAAGCACCGGCUAACUUCGUG
rnacentral:rRNA from 1 species